CCGUAGCUUCAACAAAGAGAGCCUUGUGCUCCCAUGGUGUGCGAUCUGGCUCACAAAUCGCAUCAACCACAGCCAGACAGUCGGAUUCAAGAAGGAGGUCGUGUUGAUUCCUUCCUUUAGUGAUGAGAUAUUGUAGAGCAAAGAUGAGAGCAUGGAUUUCUGCUUGCAGGGGCGAAACAGCGGGGGUUCGUUGGGCCCUGCCAUCGAUCAGUUUACCUGAGGAGUCGCGGCAAACGCAAGAGACAGCCAUCAUUCAUGACCGUUGGGAAGGAGGCGUCAAUAUUGAUCUUAACCACACCAGGAUCAAGAGAGCACCAUAUCAGAUCCGAAGGGGGACGACGAAGAACAGGCUUCCUUGCCGAUCGAGAACAGGGUCGAGUACAAGCUGCGCCUAACAUGUUGUAAGGUCAUAUGGCAGCUAUAAUAAGAUCAGGCAUGGGCAAGAGUAGCAGAUACAAUUUGAUUCGGGUUUGGGUGUUUCCUGCGGAAGACAAAAUCGUUUCUGGCCUUCCAGAUGUGCCACAGAACAUAUGUAAUUUGCGCAGAAACUUGAUCUGAAUUUGAUGCUGUAGUUCAUUUAUUUGACGAUGGCUAUUCUUGAAUUUGGACCUACUCCAACUGGUGAGGGCUGUCGAUACUCUUGUUAACUUCUGAGGUAAGUCCAAAAUUUGAUUCUGAGUAGUUUUCCAGGCAGCUGAUACUACUGAACGGCACUCGUGUUCUUGUAGCCAAUAAGAUUUAAAGAUAAAGCCUCUUCGUCACCUAGGUUUUAUUUCAGUUGUCAUCAAAAGUAGUGGGCUGUGGUCUGAUCCGAUGGAUGGUAGGGCGAAGAUUUCAGCUGCUGGAAAGGUAAGUCGCCAGUCCAUAGUACAAAAAGCCCUGUCUAAUCUUUCUUUAAUUAAAGCAUCCCCUGCUAUGUUGUUGCACCAUGUGAAAGAACACCCUUUGCUAUCUAGAUCCAUCAGUAGACAUUCAUUUAACAUCUCUAUAAAAGAAUGCAUUCGCUGAGUAGAGGCUAGCUGCUUACCUUGUUUUUCCCACGGGUACAUAAUCUCAUUAAAAUCUCCAAUGCACAACUAAGGUAAGGUGUUAAAUUGGCUGAUGAGUUUCAGAGCUCUCCAUAAGGAUUGUUGUGACUAAAAACUGCCGAUGCAUGAAGACAAGUCAAGCGCAUCAUAGUUCCACUCUCCCCUUCCGCACAAAACAUAUCAACAUAGUCUGGCAUCUGUUGAUCCACUGCGAGGUAGAUCCUUUCUUUCCAAAACACCACAAGGCCCCCCUGCAAUGCCCAAGGGAUGUUCCAAAAGGCCGUUUGGAUAAUUAAGUUGUUUCUGAAGUUUUCUAAGUACCACUUCUCUAUUCUUUGUUUCCAUAAAAAAUAGAAUAUCAGGCUGUUCCUGGGCCACCAACGCCCUUAGGGCUUGAAUUGUCAGGGGAUUGCCCAACCCCUAACAAUUCCAACUGAUGAGCUUCAUUGGUUUUUGGGUGGCUUAUUAGGGCCAGCCACCAUAGCCCAACUAUUAGUGCUCUCAACUUGAAGGAUUGGAGUCUCCAAGAGAUAGGAUUCAUCAAGUCCCUCUUUCAACAGAUUGUAACGUUUGGCCUUUUUUAUCGGACCUGACUUUGUACUCAACUUGCUACUUCUGACUUUCUUUGAUUUUGGGGAGUGCUCUGAGCCUUCUGAUGUAAUUAUAUUAUGAUUGGAUACAAGGAUCAGAGGUGUCGGAGCUUGGACAUCUAAGUGACUGUCGGGGGGCUGUUCUGGUGGAAGCUCAGUCGCAAGCACUAGAGGGGUUUCUGGAACUAUGUCAUCUGUUUCAGAAUGGGGUUGAGGUGAGGCAUAAAAGGUAUGCCAAAAUGGGCUAUGCUCUCGUACCUCUGCCCUGAGCCAUUGUCCAAAAAGUUGUCCCGGUUUAAGAGGUUCGAGAAGACUAAGCUCAACCCUUGCUCGGCCAGCACGAAGAGAUCGUUCUAACGGAAGACCAAAAACUUGGACCCAAAAGGCACAAGUAAAGAAAUCAUAGCAGUGCAAGGGAGUGUUAGGUAUCCAAGGUUUGAGAAUGACAAGAUGAUUUCCAAAAUGCCAAGGCCCAGUAUCUAGAAUUCUCUGUUUUUCUAUUUCAGUUCUAAACUUCACAACAUAUAAUCCUGCUUCAGGUUGUGCAAUAUCAACAUGAUCUACUCGUCAAGCUCUCCACAUAGUACUUUGGAAAGCUAGAAGAUUGAUUGAAUUUUGAGUUAGAAUCUUACCCACAAGGAUGAGUUUACAUUCUGCUAUUUUGUCAGCGGAUGGCGCUUCAUCGCAUACUUCAAUACUCUGUUUCUCCCAUAGACGCCCAAGGUGAGUACACAAUGCAGCCAGGUGUGCAUCUUUUGGAGAGCCUGGAGUUUGGCCAGGAGGUUCCAUGGAUGGGGACGAUGGCAAAGCAAAGCUAAUCUAGGUGUAAGUAUUGUUGAUUACAGUAACCAAGUAGGGCAAUUGUCAUAAUUGGCAACCAAUUCUGAAACUUUGGCGACCUUCUAGGAUUGGGAACAGUCGAUGGAGAGGGAAGUAGUUGGAAGGAGAAUUGGGUAAAAAACGACAUGGCGAGAACAAGGGAAACUGCAAUAGGAGGAAACAGUGAAGAUGGAAAUGUUCAAAAUUUGUGACAAUAUUUCAUUUUCUUGUACGGCAUCCGUCCAUCUUAUUCUACGUUCAUCAAUUCCAUGUGCUAUUUUUCGUCCAAUUGGCACAUGACAAAAGGGUGUUAUGACUAUCAAA